rnacentral:rRNA from 1 species
CCAGACUCCUACGGGAGGCAGCAGUGGGGAAUAUUGGACAAUGGGGGGAACCCUGAUCCAGCGACGCCGCGUGAGUGAAGAAGUAUUUCGGUAUGUAAAGCUCUAUCAGCAGGGAAGAAAGAAAUGACGGUACCUGACUAAGAAGCCCCGGCUAACUACGUGCCAGCAGCCGCGGUAAUACGUAGGGGGCAAGCGUUAUCCGGAUUUACUGGGUGUAAAGGGAGCGUAGACGGCAAUGCAAGCCAGAUGUGAAAGCCCGGGGCUCAACCCCGGGACUGCAUUUGGAACUGUGUAGCUGGAGUGUCGGAGAGGCAGGCGGAAUUCCUAGUGUAGCGGUGAAAUGCGUAGAUAUUAGGAGGAACACCAGUGGCGAAGGCGGCCUGCUGGACGAUGACUGACGUUGAGGCUCGAAAGCGUGGGGAGCAAACAGGAUUAGAUACCCUAGUAC